AAUACCUAACACACCAGCCAUAACAACCGGCACAAUUGACUUCAUCACAAGCUCUGGCCUCAUUACUCCCAUGGACGCCACUCCCACACCGCUCUUCGCUGUUCCAUAAGCAGCUCCCAUACAUGAGAAAACGAGCGCGGCAGCGGCGCCGAGGAAACCGAAGAAAGGCGCAGUUUCAUCGCCACUGAAAGUUGACGCCAUUGUUCACUCUCACACAGAUUUCAGCGGUAACCGAUCGGAAUUUGGAAGAACAACUUUCUGAUUGGCGAGAGAGAAUUAUUGUAUUUGGAUUGUCUGGUUCUUUGUAGUCGCUCUCGAUCA
rnacentral:misc_RNA from 1 species